GCCGGACUUAUUAACGCGAGUCUGUGACCCAAGUGGGGGCAUUAAAGCGGGUUUGAAGGGGGCCAUUGAUAUCGGACUAUUACAGAGCUAUUAAAAGUUUUA
rnacentral:SRP_RNA from 11 species